AGUCGAACGAAGCACUUUAUUUGAUUUCCUUCGGGACUGAUUAUUUUGUGACUGAGUGGCGGACGGGUGAGUAACGCGUGGGUAACCUGCCUUGUACAGGGGGAUAACAGUUGGAAACGGCUGCUAAUACCGCAUAAGCGCACAGCAUCGCAUGAUGCAGUGUGAAAAACUCCGGUGGUAUAAGAUGGACCCGCGUUGGAUUAGCUAGUUGGUGAGGUAACGGCCCACCAAGGCGACGAUCCAUAGCCGACCUGAGAGGGUGACCGGCCACAUUGGGACUGAGACACGGCCCAAACUCCUACGGGAGGCAGCAGUGGGGAAUAUUGCACAAUGGGCGAAAGCCUGAUGCAGCGACGCCGCGUGAGCGAAGAAGUAUUUCGGUAUGUAAAGCUCUAUCAGCAGGGAAGAUAAUGACGGUACCUGACUAAGAAGCACCGGCUAAAUACGUGCCAGCAGCCGCGGUAAUACGUAUGGUGCAAGCGUUAUCCGGAUUUACUGGGUGUAAAGGGAGCGCAGGCGGUGCGGCAAGUCUGAUGUGAAAGCCCGGGGCUCAACCCCGGUACUGCAUUGGAAACUGUCGUACUAGAGUGUCGGAGGGGUAAGCGGAAUUCCUAGUGUAGCGGUGAAAUGCGUAGAUAUUAGGAGGAACACCAGUGGCGAAGGCGGCUUACUGGACGAUAACUGACGCUGAGGCUCGAAAGCGUGGGGAGCAAACAGGAUUAGAUACCCUGGUAGUCCACGCCGCAAACGAUGAAUACUAGGUGU
rnacentral:rRNA from 1 species